rnacentral:rRNA from 1 species
UAUACAGCGAAACUGCGAAUGGCUCAUUAUAUAAGUUAUCGUUUAUUUGAUAGUGCCUUACUACUUGGAUAACCGUGGUAAUUCUAGAGCUAAUACAUGCUAAAAACCCCGACUUCGGAAGGGGUGUAUUUAUUAGAUACAAAACCAAUGCCCUUCGGGGCUCUUUGGUGGUUCAUGAUAACUAUACGAAUCGCACGGCCUUGCGCCGGCGAUGGUUCAUUCAAAUUUCUUCCCUAUCAACUUUCGAUGUUUGGGUAUUGGCCAAACAUGGUUGCAACGGGUAACGGAGGGUUAGGGCUCGACCCCGGAGAAGGAGCCUGAGAAACGGCUACUACAUCCAAGGAAGGCAGCAGGCGCGCAAAUUACCCAAUCCCGACUCGGGGAGGUAGUGACAAUAAAUACUGAUACAGGGCCCUUUCGGGCCUUGUAAUUGGAAUGAGUACAAUUUAAAUCCCUUAACGAGGAACAAUUGGAGGGCAAGUCUGGUGCCAGCAGCCGCGGUAAUUCCAGCUCCAAUAGCGUAUAU